rnacentral:rRNA from 1 species
UACGGGGGGAGCAAGCGUUGUCCGGAAUUAUUGGGCGUAAAGAGCUCGUAGGCGGUCUGUCGCGUCUGCUGUGAAAACUCAGGGCUUAACCCUGAGCUUGCAGUGGGUACGGGCAGACUAGAGUGCGGUAGGGGAGAGUGGAAUUCCUGGUGGUAGCGGUGAAAUGCGCAGAUAUCAGGAAGAACACCAAUGGCGAAGGCAGCUCUCUGGGACGGUACUGACGCUGAGGCACGAAAGCGUGGGGAGCAAACAGG